AAGCAUAUCAAUAAGCGGAGGAAAAGAAACCAACCGGGAUUGCCUUAGUAACGGCGAGUGAAGCGGCAAAAGCUCAAAUUUGAAAUCUGGUACCUUCGGUGCCCGAGUUGUAAUUUGGAGAGGGCAACUUUGGGGCCGUUCCUUGUCUAUGUUCCUUGGAACAGGACGUCAUAGAGGGUGAGAAUCCCGUGUGGCGAGGAGUGCGGUUCUUUGUAAAGUGCCUUCGAAGAGUCGAGUUGUUUGGGAAUGCAGCUCUAAGUGGGUGGUAAAUUCCAUCUAAAGCUAAAUAUUGGCGAGAGACCGAUAGCGAACAAGUACAGUGAUGGAAAGAUGAAAAGAACUUUGAAAAGAGAGUGAAAAAGUACGUGAAAUUGUUGAAAGGGAAGGGCAUUUGAUCAGACAUGGUGUUUUGUGCCCUCUGCUCCUUGUGGGUAGGGGAAUCUCGCAUUUCACUGGGCCAGCAUCAGUUUUGGUGGCAGGAUAAAUCCAUAGGAAUGUAGCUUGCCUCGGUAAGUAUUAUAGCCUGUGGGAAUACUGCCAGCUGGGACUGAGGACUGCGACGUAAGUCAAGGAUGCUGGCAUA
rnacentral:rRNA from 1 species